rnacentral:rRNA from 1 species
UGAUNAGGGANCCCGAGUGCUCCUACUCAGUAGGAGCUGUCCAGUUGUCUAAAAAACAACCGUUAGCAAGAGCCGGGCAAGACCGGUGCCAGCCGCCGCGGUAACACCGGCGGCUCGAGUGGUGACCGUUAUUAUUGGGUCUAAAGGGUCCGUAGCUGGCUUAAUAAGUUCCUUGGGAAAUCUGGCGGCUUAACCGUCAGGCUGCCGAGGAAUACUAUUAGGCUCGAGACCGGGAGGGGCUAGAGGUACUUCAGGGGUAGGAGUGAAAUCCUGUAAUCCUUGAGAGACCACCAGUGGCGAAGGCGUCUAGCUAGAACGGGUCUGACAGUGAGGGACGAAAGCUAGGGUCGCGAACCGGAUUAGAUACCCGGGUAGUCCUAGCCGUAAACGAUGCGAGCUAUGUAUCAGUUUCACUGCGAGUGAAAUUGGUGCCGUANANAA